rnacentral:rRNA from 1 species
ACUUSKUUCAGUUACAUGUGCUGGUGCUGAAGCGUUUGAAACCUUUGUCCUCUCUUAACCUUUCUGUUGGUGCUGAUAUUGCAGAGUUUGAUCCUGGCUCAGAUUGAACGCUGGCGGAACGCUUUACAUGCAAGUCGAACGGUAACGAGGAGGAAAGCUGCUUUCCUCUGUCGACAGUGGCGAACGGGUGAGUAAGACAUCGGAACGUAUCCGCUCGUGGGGACAACCUUCCGAAAGGGGAGCUAAUACCGCAUGAGAUCCGAGGAUGAAGAGGGGGCCCCCGAGGGGCCUCUCGMGCGGGGGCAGCCGAUGACUGAUUAGCUAGUUGGUAGGUGAAGCUCACCAAGGCGACGAUCAGUAGCUGGUCUGAGAGGACGACCAGCCACACUGGGACUGAGACACGGCCCAGACUCCYACRGGAGGCAGCAGUGGAAUUUUGGACAAUGGGCGCAAGCCUGAUCCAGCUAUUCCGCGUGUGGGAAGACGGCCUUCGGGUUGUAAACCACUUUUGUAGAGAACGAAAAGUCUAUUGAUAAUACCGAUAGAUGAUGACGGUACUCCUAAGAAUAAGCACCGGCUAACUACGUGCCAGCAGCCGCGGUAAUACGUAGGGGUGCGAGCGUUAAUCGGAAUUACUGGGCGUAAAGGGUGUGCAGGCGGUUUUGCAAGAUGGAUGUGAAAGCCCCGGGCUUAACCUGGGAAAACCAUACAUGACUGCAAGACUAGAGUGCGUCAGAGGGGGGGGAAUUCCAAGUGUAGCAGUGAAAUGCGUAGAUAUUUGGAAGAACACCGAUGGCGAAGGCAGCCCCUGGGACGCAACUGACGCUCAUACACAAAGCGUGGGGGGGCAAACAGGUUAGAUACCCUGGUAGUCCACGCCUAAACGAUGUCAACUAGUUGUUGGGAGGUAAAACUUUCAGUAACGCAGCUAACGCGAAAGUUGACCGCCUGGGAAGUACGGUCGCAAGACUAAAACUCAAAAGGAAUUGACGGGGACCCGCACAAGCGGUGGAUGAUGUGGAUUAAUUCGAUGCAACGCGAAAAACCUUACCUACCCUUGACAUGGCAGACAACUCCUUGUAAUGAGGGGGGGCUCGCAAGAGGAUCUGCACACAGGUGCUGCAUGGCUGUCGUCAGCUCGUGUCGUGAGAUGUUGGGUUUAAGUCCCGCAACGAGCGCAACCCUUGUCACUAGUUGCUACGAAAGGGCACUCUAGGUGAGACUGCCGGUGACAAACCGGAGGAAGGUGGGGAUGACGUCAAGUCCUCAUGGCCCUAUGGGUWGGGGCUUCACACGUCAUACAAUGGGUCGGAACAGAGGGCAGCAAAGCCGAGAGGCGGAGCAAAUCCCAAAAACCGAUCGUAGUCCGAUUGCAGUCUGCAACUCGACUGCAUGAAGUCGGAAUCGCUAGUAAUCGCGGAUCAGCAUGCCGCGGUGAAUACGUUCCCGGGUCUUGUACACACCGCCCGUCAAACAAUGGGGUGGUGUUUACCAGAAGUCGUUAGCCUAACCGCAAGGAGGGCAGCGACCACGGUGAAACACCGUGACUAAUGUUAAGUCGUAACAAGGUAGCCGUACCGGAAGGUGCGGCUGGAUCCUCUCCUUUCAAGGUUUUUGCUUGAAGAUUUGAGUGUCCGCUCUUAUCGGCAGUCGAUAGAUUGAAGAAGAUAGUUCUUUAAAAAAGGAAAUUUGAAUCAAUUGAAAACGUUUAUGGAAACGUAAACGGGAAAAGAUUGACGAGUCAUAAACAAAGCAAAACUUUGUGAGAAACUUGAAAGCGAAGACAUAAACAGCGUAAUGGGAACAGCGUUUAGCGGUUGCUUGUAACGCUGCCGGGCAAUAGGCGGCAGGGUUAUAGGAUCAAGCGACUAAGUGCAUGUGGUGGAUGCCUUAGCGAUCACAGGGSAAAAAAAGACGUGGCAGCCCUGCGAAAAGCUGCGGGGAGCUGGCAAACGAGCAUAGAUCCGCAGAUAUCUGAAUGGGGGAACCCAACCCGAUAGGGUUAUCGCAUGAUGAAUCCAUAGUCAUGCGAAGGCGAACGGGGAGAACUGAAACAUCUAAGUAUCCUCAGGAAAGAAAUCAACCGAGAUUCCGGCAGUAGCGGCGAGCAGACCGGGGGAACCCUAGUUUUUGAUAGUUUGGAUGAUAGAAAAAUGAGAUGGAAAGCUCAGCCAGAGAAGGUGAUAGCCCUGUAUUUAAAAUUGUCCAAAUGGUACUAAGGAAACGAGAAGUAAGGCAGGACACGGAAWUCUGUCUCARAAGRGGGGACCAUCCUCAAGGCUAAAUACUAGUGAUCGACCGAUAGUGAACCAGUACCGUGAGGAAAGGGGAAAAAAMCCCGGGGGGAGUGAAAUAGAACCUGAAACCGCAUGCAUACAAACAGUAGGAGCCUUUUUUUGGGGGUGACUGCGUACCUUUGCAUAAUGGGUCAGCGACUUACAUUCUGUGGCGGGUUAACCGAAUAGGRAGCCAAGCGAAAGCAGUUCGAAUAGAGCGAAAAGUCGCAGGGUGUAGACCCGAAACCAGAUGAGCUAUCCAUGGCCAGGUUGAAGGUGUGGUAACACACACUGGAGGACCGAACCGACUAGUGUUGCAAAAUUAGCGGAUGAGCUGUGGAUGGGGUGAAAGGCCAAACAAAUCUGGAGAUAGCUGGUUCUCCCGAAAACUAUUGAGGUAGUGCCUCGUGUGAAGGCUCCAGGGGUAGAGCACUGUUUUGGCUAGGGGGACAUGUAGUCUUACCAAACCAAGGCAAACUCCGAAUACCUGGAAGCUAUACACGGGAGACAGAGCACCAGGUGCUAACGUCCGGACUCAAAGGAAAAAAACCCAGACCCCRGCUAGGGUCCCCAAUAGCAGCUAAGUGGAAAACAGAAGUGGAAGGCCGUGACAACCAGGAAGUUGGCUUAGAAGCAGCCAUCCUUCAAAAAAGCGUAAUAGCUCACUGGUCGAGUCUUUCUGCGCGGAAGAUGUAACGGGGCUAAGCUGCUAACCGAAGCCGCGGAUGCAUGGAAAAAUCCAUGCGUGGUGAGAACGUUCUGUAAGUCUGAGAGGCAGAUUGAGAAGUCUGCUGGAGAUAUCAGAAGUGCGAAUGCUGACAUGAGUAACGUUAAAGAGGGUGAAAACCCUCUCGCCGCAAGCCCAAGGUUUCCUGCUCUACGUUCAUCRGACAGGGUGGAGUCRCCCCUAAGGUCAGGCCGAAGGCGUAGCCGAUGGGAACCRGGUUAAUAUUCCCGGACCGCUGUCAGAUGCGAAGGGGUGACGGAGAGGCUAAGGUCAUCCGAGUGUUGGACUACUCGGUACUUAGACGAGGAYGGUUGGCRRGCARWYMYGSMARCGGAUCAUCCGGAUCGGAAGUGGUGCUCCCACGGGAGCAGUGAUUGAAACYCUUCCAGGAAAAAACCUCUAAGCUACAGUUUGASAGGACCGUACCGCAAACCGACACUGGUGGGCGAGCUGAAUAUGCUCAGGCGCUUGAGAGAACUCGGGAGAAGGAACUCGGCAAAUUGACACCGUAACUUCGGAAGAAGGUGUGCCGCAGUAGCGUGAGAGGAGAGACACCUUGAGCGUGAGACGGUCUCAGAGAAUAGGUGGCUGCGACUGUUUAUUAAAACACAGCACUCUGCAAAGUCGAAAGACGACGUAUAGGGUGUGAUGCCUGCCCGGUGCUGGAAGAUUAAUUGAUGGGCUGAGAGGCCUUGAUCGAAGUCCCAGUAAACGGCGGCCGUAACUAUAACGGUCCUAGGURGGAAAUUCCUUGUCGGGUAAGUUCCGACCUGCACGAAUGGCAUAACGAUGGCCACACUGUCUCCUCCCCGAGACUCAGUGAAGUUGAAGUGUUUGUGAUGAUGCAAUCUACCGCGGCUAGACGGGAAAGACCCCAUGAACCUUUACUGCAGCUUUGCAUUGAACUGUGAACCGAUUUGUGUAGGAUAGGUGGGAGACAGAGAAAAAGAGCGCCAGCUCCUCUGGAGUCAACUGAAAUACCACCCUGAUUUGUUUGCGGUUCUAACCAAGACAGGACCACACUGUUUGGGACCGUGCAUGGUAGGCAGUUUUACUGGGGCGGUGAAGAUAGAGCGACAGGCAAGUAGGUUAAGAGAGGACAAAGGUUUCAYSUKCCUAGUUCAGUACCAUAGCAAUACGUGUAACUGGAACCGAAGUACAACAA